ensembl:lncRNA
CACAGUCAAAGGACCUAUAGGUAGGAUUUCUGUGGAGGAAGGCAUUUCUUUGUCGUCUUUCUGGGUACAGUCAGGCAUUAGGGCAUCUGGAUGUUUGUUUACAAAACUGGGACUUUCUAAUUACAAUUUUGGAUUUAGCUGCCUAAAGUCUCCUAAAUCCUAGAUCCACAUUUCUUUUCCCACCUAACCCUACAGCUGUAUUCAGUGGAUGUGUUCAUACUUCCAUACAUAUUUUCAAGUUUACAACCAACGUAGAGAUGGCAUUAAUAAAAAUGAGCUCAUUGCUGGACUUCCCAAGUGAGAGAGACACUCUAUUCUUUCAGUAUGUUUGCAGAGAGAAGAUAUGCUUCUUCCCACAGGGUGGCAGAAGCAAUUAGUCCUUUUAAUGCUGCAAAAUAAAAGGUGAAAAGAUGUGAAAACUGUCAGAAAUGGUAACAGGAAGUUUUUUCAGUUAGCUGACUGUAAGAGAUUAUUCUUUUGCAUCAUUGUCUCAAAUGUUGCUGAGGGACACAGAUGAACAAACCCAAGCAAGUCCUGGGCAAGGGUUGUGAAAUCCUUUUUCUGAGGGACACAGAUGGACAAGUCCAGGGGCAACGCAAGAGAUAGAUAAGCCAGGUCAGGAAGCUGUCUUGGUGGGCUUCUCUCGAGGGAGAUAGCCAUCUCAGGGGGUACUACCUAUGACUGUUACCCAAACACCCAGGAAUGCCACAUUAACAGCAGAAGGAUAAAAAAGGGAUGUACAACCAUGAGAUUAGGUUUCUUACAACAAAUUCCUCACAAAGAAGAGGUUUCUGACAACAGAAUCCUCACAAAGAAGAACAAGAAGUUUUCUGACAUGAGAAGCCUCACAACCUGCUUCUCCCUCCUGGACUUGCUCUGCCCUCUACCUGCCUGCUUCCUAAGGCCAUCCACUCUGCUGCUGCUCUCCCCCCAAGAAGCUGUCUGCCAUCAGAUCCCUCACUGUGGAAUGCCUGCAUGCUGACAGUCUCUCCAGGGCCUGCUACCAGAGACCUGCUGCUUCCUCCCGGACUUCUUCCUGGACCUACCCGGUACCUGCACCUUCUUGCUGCCCAAGACCGGCCACGAUGCUACUGCUCUUACCCUGCACUUUUGCCCCGGACCAUCGAAAUGUCAUGCAAUAGGACCACUGCUGGAUCCUGGUGGUGACUAUCCCCACUUUAUGCCAUUCUUGCCUCUUUCUAUCUUUUCUAUUGCCUGCCUUCCCUUCCCCAUCACCCAAAAUCAUAAUAGUGUCUGUCCUCCCCUUCCCCAUCUUCCUGAUUAAGAUUUGUAAUAAACUGGUCAUACCAACAUUUGAACCGUUGUUUCUUAAUCUCAUGUCAGGUAUACAUAUAUCAAAGAACCUCCUCUCCCUCCUAUAAAUUGGAGCAAAACACUGACCCAAAUAAAUACUAGCUAUCUGUGAUUCAGAUUGGAAAUUAGACAAUUCUAACCACCAGAAUAGUGAGACUGAAAGAAAUCCUCUGAUAGAAAGAAGAAGGAACUUACUAAGAUUAUAAACAGCUCGAUGACCAUCACAAGAACAACUGUCAUCUUCCUCCCUAGUGAGUUGUUCUGAGUCAGAAUUGUAAAAUGAUCUCACCAGAAUGGCCAUGAACUUUACAGUCCCAGAUGUUCAUUCUGCCACCAAGACAGAUAUUAAUGUUCCUACACUACUAAAUAUUGUCCUGGGAGCAGAAAAGACCCAACUCCAUCAAAACAUGAGAAAC